AUAAAAAUAAUAGUCAUUAUUGAUUAGCUGGUGUGUUACACACAGUUCACUUCUCUUUGUGUGAGAUCUACAGUGUGCUGGAAUUCCUUUCUUUCACCCUUCUGCGAGUUCAAAACUUGGCAAAAGAACGCCGGGGUAACUCUGUUCUUCUAUAACGCCAUUAGUUGAUUGCAAGGCUGAAGACGAAGCUGAUCACCAGCACUAGUAACGCUUGGAGACUUGUUUUCUUUUUACGAUUUGUUUUUGUCAAUCGAGAAGUGCUGCUCUCACUCUUUGGCCACUAUGGAAGCCCAGUCAGCUGAUCAUGAUGUGCAAGUUUCUGUUCUACUGUUUGCCAAGGCACGUGAGCUGUGUGGAGGUGUAUCAACUCAUGCCGUACACCUGCCAGCAUCUACUACCUUUAAACAUCUCAAAUCUCUGCUUCUCACCAAAUUUCCACAGCUAACCUCUAUCAUGGCGACGUGUGUAUUGGCUCUAAAUGCCGAGUAUCUUUCACAAGACGACGGUGAUAGCGAAGAGAGCGACCAGGCCGCUGUGGAUGACAUCAUUCACUUGCGGACAGGCGAUGAGCUGGCGGUGAUACCGCCUAUAAGCGGAGGCUAGCUACACGCACACACGGCGGUGGCUGUUGCGGCUCUCAGGCCGGCAUUGAUUUGCACACUGCUACCUACCACUGAGUCCUAUGGUACCUCAACUCUGCCCAGUGUGUUGCAUCAGGGUGCAGCAGCGCGACUACUUACUGAAUCUAUUUUACGUCUAUCACUAGAUCACACACAAGGCUAUCUCUCCAUUCUGGCCGGAUGUGCGCUUCUCCUGGAGAAGAAACAGUGUUGCUUCUGUCUAUUCUGCUGAUGCCAGAAUGCGAGAUCUACCCCCCCCCCCCCCAGAGAACUACAGAGGGAGUUCAUACAUGCUGCCAUCUCUCAGUGUGCCGGCAGCAAUCGCUUCCUUGCAGCUAUGCCCAGGUGAAGCAACACCCUGCAGUGAUGUUGCCCAGACGACUACUGGAUUUCUAGAAGAGCAGCACGUGUUGUUGCCCAGGUAACUGGGUUUCUAGACGAGCAGCAAGUGCCGUGGCGGCGGUGGCUCUCCACUGGCACCUGCCACUAUAGCGCUCUCUUCGCCUGAAAGUGCCGUGGUGAAUUCUUCUUGCCACGUACUUUCUACACGCGCUGAUUCUGCCGUUGUUCUUACCUUGCUCUCAGUUGUACAUGUACAGUUGUGGCAAGUGAAAUCCGACGCUUGGCAUAAGGGACUGCACCGUGCAUCCUGCAGCCCCGCAUACGUACAGUACAUGUGUUGCAUACAACUUUAUCUGUCUGAUGACAGAAUUCGUACUCAUCACCGUCAAGGUUCACAGUCAAGGUUCAAAAGGUGCUGGCAAAAAUGAAUGGAGAUCGGAUACCAAUACUCCUUAUGUGUACCAUGUUUGUGAACUGUGUGUAUCUACACUGUGACCUUUCGAUCUGUUUCUGAUGCAUACGGCUCUAUAGUACAAAUUAGGUGCAGUGUAUUAUAUCAUUGAUGUCCAUUUGAGGCGCUGUCCCCUAUUGCAAGUUUUGGAUUUCACUUGCCACAACUCUAGUUACAUGUACAUGUAUCAUCUUG